rnacentral:rRNA from 1 species
CGCUUCUUUUUCCACCGGAGCUUGCUCCACCGGAAAAAGAGGAGUGGCGAACGGGUGAGUAACACGUGGGUAACCUGCCCAUCAGAAGGGGAUAACACUUGGAAACAGGUGCUAAUACCGUAUAACAAUCGAAACCGCAUGGUUUUGAUUUGAAAGGCGCUUUCGGGUGUCGCUGAUGGAUGGACCCGCGGUGCAUUAGCUAGUUGGUGAGGUAACGGCUCACCAAGGCGACGAUGCAUAGCCGACCUGAGAGGGUGAUCGGCCACAUUGGGACUGAGACACGGCCCAAACUCCUACGGGAGGCAGCAGUAGGGAAUCUUCGGCAAUGGACGAAAGUCUGACCGAGCAACGCCGCGUGAGUGAAGAAGGUUUUCGGAUCGUAAAACUCUGUUGUUAGAGAAGAACAAGGAUGAGAGUAACUGUUCAUCCCUUGACGGUAUCUAACCAGAAAGCCACGGCUAACUACGUGCCAGCAGCCGCGGUAAUACGUAGGUGGCAAGCGUUGUCCGGAUUUAUUGGGCGUAAAGCGAGCGCAGGCGGUUUCUUAAGUCUGAUGUGAAAGCCCCCGGCUCAACCGGGGAGGGGUCAUUGGAAACUGGGAGACUUGAGUGCAGAAGAGGAGAGUGGAAUUCCAUGUGUAGCGGUGAAAUGCGUAGAUAUAUGGAGGAACACCAGUGGCGAAGGCGGCUCUCUGGUCUGUAACUGACGCUGAGGCUCGAAAGCGUGGGGAGCAAACAGGAUUAGAUACCCUGGUAGUCCACGCCGUAAACGAUGAGUGCUAAGUGUUGGAGGGUUUCCGCCCUUCAGUGCUGCAGCUAACGCAUUAAGCACUCCGCCUGGGGAGUACGACCGCAAGGUUGAAACUCAAAGGAAUUGACGGGGGCCCGCACAAGCGGUGGAGCAUGUGGUUUAAUUCGAAGCAACGCGAAGAACCUUACCAGGUCUUGACAUCCUUUGACCACUCUAGAGAUAGAGCUUCCCCUUCGGGGGCAAAGUGACAGGUGGUGCAUGGUUGUCGUCAGCUCGUGUCGUGAGAUGUUGGGUUAAGUCCCGCAACGAGCGCAACCCUUAUUGUUAGUUGCCAUCAUUUAGUUGGGCACUCUAGCAAGACUGCCGGUGACAAACCGGAGGAAGGUGGGGAUGACGUCAAAUCAUCAUGCCCCUUAUGACCUGGGCUACACACGUGCUACAAUGGGAAGUACAACGAGUCGCAAAGUCGCGAGGCUAAGCUAAUCUCUUAAAGCUUCUCUCAGUUCGGAUUGUAGGCUGCAACUCGCCUACAUGAAGCCGGAAUCGCUAGUAAUCGCGGAUCAGCACGCCGCGGUGAAUACGUUCCCGGGCCUUGUACACACCGCCCGUCACACCACGAGAGUUUGUAACACCCGAAGUCGGUGAGGUAACCUU